rnacentral:lncRNA from 1 species
AAAAAUAACCCUGCCCUCCCCGCCUGUGGCCUGAAGUCAUUGCGUUAGCCAGAACCCGGAGAAUUAAAAUCAAUUUGAUGUGUAGCUUUCUCUGGCUAAUGAGCUUUGAAGAGGAUUGAGAGUUUAACGCUUCCAUUUUCUCAGCAAGAAGGUGAUCUGGGCAGGCAGGGGCAGCCCCAGAAGAUCUGAGCUCAACUGAAAAGGCAGUUCAUAAGAGAGCAAGGCAGCACCAGCCUGUGUCUAAGAGGGACAUUCCUGAAAUCCUAGCUGCCUCCUAACAUCGGAAUGUCUGUGCUCUGCUCAAAGUCUGCACUUUGAACAGUUCGAGCUGAGGAGAUGAUUGAGCAUCCUAACUGUCCACGCCCCACUGCAAAGAAUUGGUCAUUUCAUUUCAGGCCAAAGUGAACCCAGGCACAGCAUGGACCCCAAGAGGGACCUGCAAACAGGGCCACCCCCGCCGUUCCAGAAUGAACCCAGAAUCAGCUCCUCUCGCCCCUCUGGGCUGAGGUUUUGCCAGGUGCCUGGUGGGAGCCACCCUGCCUGUUAAUAUUUGUAACUUGGGCUGUAUUAAUUUUUUCUUGAAAUAAACAUCCUGGCACUCACAUGUGUGGGAAUAUAUGGUCAUAAUAAAG